rnacentral:rRNA from 1 species
AUUGAACGCUGGCGGCAGGCCUAACACAUGCAAGUCGAGCGGAUGAAGAGAGCUUGCUCUCUGAUUCAGCGGCGGACGGGUGAGUAAUGCCUAGGAAUCUGCCUGAUAGUGGGGGACAACGUUUCGAAAGGAACGCUAAUACCGCAUACGUCCUACGGGAGAAAGCAGGGGACCUUCGGGCCUUGCGCUAUCAGAUGAGCCUAGGUCGGAUUAGCCAGUUGGUGAGGUAACGGCUCACCAAGGCGACGAUCCGUAACUGGUCUGAGAGGAUGAUCAGUCACACUGGAACUGAGACACGGUCGAGACCCCUACGGGAGGCAGCAGUGGGGAAUAUUGGACAAUGGGCGAAAGCCUGAUCCAGCCAUGCCGCGUGUGCGAAGAAGGUCUUCGGAUUGUAAAGCACUUUAAGUUGGGAGGAAGGGCAUUAACCUAAUACGUUAGUGUUUUGACGUUACCGACAGAAUAAGCACCGGCUAACUUCGUGCCAGCCGCCGCGGUAACAC